AGAGCACCUGGUUUGGGACCAGGGGGUCGCAGGUUCAAAUCCUGUCUUCCCGA
rnacentral:tRNA from 1 species